rnacentral:rRNA from 1 species
AUCUAUGGUCAUGCUACUCUGAACAAGCCCGAUCUCGUCUUGAUCUCAGAAGCUAAGCAGGGUCGGGCCUGGUUAGUACUUAGAUGGGAGACUAUCUAGAAAGACCAGGUGCUGUAGAUA